CUCGGGCGGACAUGUGGCUUAUUCGACGCAACGCGAAGAACCUUACCAAGGCUUGACAUACAUCGGAAACAUCCAGAGAUGGGUGCCCCCUUGUGGUCGGUGUACAGGUGGUGCAUGGCUGUCGUCAGCUCGUGUCGUGAGAUGUUGGGUUAAGUCCCGCAACGAGCGCAACCCUUGUCCUGUGUUGCCAGCAUGCCCUUCGGGGUGAUGGGGACUCACAGGAGACUGCCGGGGUCACUUUCCGGAGGAAGA
rnacentral:rRNA from 1 species